AUUCCGGUACUACCAGAUUAUCGCUUUAAGUGAUGGGGGGACGCAGGAAGGUAGGUCAGCACGAUAAAAGUUACGUGUCCAAGCCUGAUAUGGGAGAAGAUAGGAAAAUCCGUCUUCUAUUAAAACCCUAAGAGGUGAUAGGGAGCUGCUAUGGCAGCGAACUGAUCGAUCCUACACUGCCAAGAAAAACCUCUAAACAAGAUAACCUGGUAUCCGUACUAAAACCGACACAGGUAGGUAGGUAGAGAAUACCAAGGCGCUCGAGAUAACCCUCGUUAAGGAACUCGGCAAAAUGACUCCGUAACUUCGGGAGAAGGAGUGCCCCGGUAGGGUGAGUUGAUUUACUCAUACAAGCCCGAAGGGGUUGCAAAGAAACGGCCCAAGCGACUGUUUACUAAAAACACAGGUCUCUGCUAAAUCGAAAGAUGAUGUAUAGGGACUGACGCCUGCCCGGUGCUGGAAGGUUAAGGAAGGAGGUUACCCCUCAUCACUGAGGGGGAAGCUUCUGACCGAAGCCCCAGUAAACGGCGGCCGUAACUAUAACGGUCCUAAGGUAGCGAAAUUCCUUGUCGGGUAAGUUCCGACCUGCACGAAUGGCGUAACGAUUUGGGCACUGUCUCAACGAGGGACUCGGUGAAGUUGUAGUGUAAGUGAAGAUGCUUACUACCCGCGACAGGACGGAAAGACCCCGUGAACCUUUACUGUAGCCUGAUAUUGAACUUUAGCA
rnacentral:rRNA from 1 species